AUUGAACGCUGGCGGCAUGCUUUACACAUGCAAGUCGAACGGUAACGGGCCGCAAGGUGCUGACGAGUGGCGAACGGGUGAGUAAUGCAUCGGAACGUGCCCAGUCGUGGGGGAUAACGCAGCGAAAGCUGCGCUAAUACCGCAUACGAUCUAUGGAUGAAAGCGGGGGACCGUAAGGCCUCGCGCGAUUGGAGCGGCCGAUGUCAGAUUAGGUAGUUGGUGGGGUAAAGGCUCACCAAGCCAACGAUCUGUAGCUGGUCUGAGAGGACGACCAGCCACACUGGGACUGAGACACGGCCCAGACUCCUACGGGAGGCAGCAGUGGGGAAUUUUGGACAAUGGGCGCAAGCCUGAUCCAGCAAUGCCGCGUGCAGGAAGAAGGCCUUCGGGUUGUAAACUGCUUUUGUACGGAACGAAACGGUCCUGGUUAAUACCCGGGGCUAAUGACGGUACCGUAAGAAUAAGCACCGGCUAACUACGUGCCAGCAGCCGCCGUAACAC
rnacentral:rRNA from 1 species